GAAAGUCAUAGGAAAAACCAAGAAGUCGGGCUUCUGUGUAGUCUAUUCUGUGGUUAGACUAUCAAUUACAUAUACUAUUAGCUGUAUAUACGGCCACAUACUGCCUAGCCUGUGACUGAUUAUGCAUAGGAUAAUUAAUAACAUUAUUGUAUACCUUACCAUUAAUAAAAAAACGACUUGAAAAUUCAUUUAAUUCCUGUAUAUGUUACUCUAUAUUCAUCUUGUUUUCUGACGAAAAUCUAUAUCAAUGGACGACUUGCGCUUUAGAAAAUUUUUUUAUCUGGGAAUAACAAAGGAUAUUUUCGGAAAGAAGUUAUCAAAAUUAGAAAAACUGCAAAGUUUGGUUGCGAAAUAUUGUAAAAUACGGAAAAUAUAGCCCUGCGAAGUUGGCAAAUUUGUAUACAUUUCUAUUACGUG